UGACCCUGAGAUCAUGACCUGAGCUGAAAUCAAGAGUCCAGUGCCUGGCUGAGCCACCCAGGAGUCGAUGCCACUGCAAGAAGCCACUGUCUUUACUCCCUAAGAAGCAGCUCAUCUGUCUCCUGAAUCUGCAGCAGUUCAGCCUCAUCGCCAGGCUCCUCUUCUAGUUCUAGCUCUCUUGCUGUGUCCACCUUAUCUGCAGUUACUUCCUCCGCUGAGGUCUGGAAUCCCUCAAAGUCAGCCAUCAGGGCUGGAAUCCACUUCUUCCAAACUCCUGUUCAUGAUCUUUGACCUCUUCCCACAAGUCACAAAUAUUCUUGAUGGCGUCUAGAAGAGUGAAUCCUUUCCAGAAGCUUCUCAGUUUGCUUUACCUAGAUCCAUCAGAGGAGUCACUGGCCAAGGCAGCUACAGCCUGACGACAUGCAAUUCUCAUUAAGUCGUAGGACAUGAAAAUUGAAAUGACUCCUUGAUCUGUGGGCUGCAGGGUCGAUGUGUUGGCAGGCACGAAACAGCAUUCAUCUCCUUGCACAUCUUGACAUCAGAGCUCUUGGGCGACCAGGUGUAUUGUCAGCAGUCAUAUUAUGAAAGGAUUUUUUUUUUUUUCCCUGAGCAGCAGGUCUCAAAUGUGGGCUUAAAAUACUUAGUAAACCAUGUUGUAAACA